CUACGGGUCGCUGCAGUGAGGAAUAUUGCACAAUGGGGGGAACCCUGAUGCAGCAACGCCGCGUGGAGGAUGACGCAUUUCGGUGUGUAAACUCCUUUUAUAUGUCAAGAAAAUGACGGUAGCAUAUGAAUAAGCACCGGCUAACUCCGUGCCAGCAGCCGCGGUAAUACGGAGGGUGCAAGCGUUACUCGGAAUCACUGGGCGUAAAGGACGCGUAGGCGGGUUGGAAAGUCAGGUGUGAAAUCCUACAGCUUAACUGUAGAACUGCACUUGAAACUUCUAAUCUAGAGUAUGGGAGGGGAGGCGGAAUUAGUGGUGUAGGGGUAAAAUCCGUAGAUAUCACUAGGAAUACCUAAAGCGAAGGCGAUCUCCUGGAACAUUACUGACGCUAAGGCGUGAAAGCGUGGGGAGCAAACAGGAUUAGAUACCCGUGUAGUC
rnacentral:rRNA from 1 species